rnacentral:rRNA from 1 species
AGAGUUUGAUCCUGGCUCAGGAUGAACGCUAGCUACAGGCUUAACACAUGCAAGUCGAGAGGCAGCAUGGUCUUAGCUUGCUAAGGCCGAUGGCGACCGGCGCACGGGUGAGUAACACGUAUCCAACCUGCCGUCUACUCUUGGACAGCCUUCUGAAAGGAAGAUUAAUACAAGAUGGCAUCAUGAGUCCGCAUGUUCACAUGAUUAAAGGUAUUCCGGUAGACGAUGGGGAUGCGUUCCAUUAGAUAGUAGGCGGGGUAACGGCCCACCUAGUCUUCGAUGGAUAGGGGUUCUGAGAGGAAGGUCCCCCACAUUGGAACUGAGACACGGUCCAAACUCCUACGGGAGGCAGCAGUGAGGAAUAUUGGUCAAUGGGCGAGAGCCUGAACCAGCCAAGUAGCGUGAAGGAUGACUGCCCUAUGGGUUGUAAACUUCUUUUAUAAAGGAAUAAAGUCGGGUAUGCAUACCCGUUUGCAUGUACUUUAUGAAUAAGGAUCGGCUAACUCCGUGCCAGCAGCCGCGGUAAUACGGAGGAUCCGAGCGUUAUCCGGAUUUAUUGGGUUUAAAGGGAGCGUAGAUGGAUGUUUAAGUCAGUUGUGAAAGUUUGCGGCUCAACCGUAAAAUUGCAGUUGAUACUGGAUAUCUUGAGUGCAGUUGAGGCAGGCGGAAUUCGUGGUGUAGCGGUGAAAUGCUUAGAUAUCACGAAGAACUCCGAUUGCGAAGGCAGCCUGCUAAGCUGCAACUGACAUUGAGGCUCGAAAGUGUGGGUAUCAAACAGGAUUAGAUACCCUGGUAGUCCACACGGUAAACGAUGAAUACUCGCUGUUUGCGAUAUACAGCAAGCGGCCAAGCGAAAGCGUUAAGUAUUCCACCUGGGGAGUACGCCGGCAACGGUGAAACUCAAAGGAAUUGACGGGGGCCCGCACAAGCGGAGGAACAUGUGGUUUAAUUCGAUGAUACGCGAGGAACCUUACCCGGGCUUAAAUUGCAGAUGAAUUACGGUGAAAGCCGUAAGCCGCAAGGCAUCUGUGAAGGUGCUGCAUGGUUGUCGUCAGCUCGUGCCGUGAGGUGUCGGCUUAAGUGCCAUAACGAGCGCAGCCCUUGUUGUCAGUUACUAACAGGUUCUGCUGAGGACUCUGACAAGACUGCCAUCGUAAGAUGUGAGGAAGGUGGGGAUGACGUCAAAUCAGCACGGCCCUUACGUCCGGGGCUACACACGUGUUACAAUGGGGGGUACAGAGGGCCGCUACCACGCGAGUGGAUGCCAAUCCCCAAAACCUCUCUCAGUUCGGACUGGAGUCUGCAACCCGACUCCACGAAGCUGGAUUCGCUAGUAAUCGCGCAUCAGCCACGGCGCGGUGAAUACGUUCCCGGGCCUUGUACACACCGCCCGUCAAGCCAUGGGAGCCGGGGGUACCUGAAGUGCGUAACCGCGAGGAGCGCCCUAGGGUAAAACUGGUGACUGGGGCUAAGUCGUAACAAGGUA